UUAAUGGCAUUCUGUAUCUUUAUUAUUAGAAGCCUUAUUAAUUUUAAUACCCCAACGGGAGGCCCAGGAGCCGCACAACAGGGACAGAAGAAAGAAUCCCGGUUCAAAAACUGUAAACCGAAUUUAAAAAGUUCUACGAUGGCCUCAAAGCUAAGGGCAAAAAAACAGUGCCAUCGUGUGGCCCACGCAGGUAUAGCAGCCACCAGGAGAAAUAAACUUUGUUCACAUUAAGGGCAACAGGAGUCUCAGCGGUUACAACACAGGCACAGAAGAAGGAUCCUUCAAGACCCAAACCGAGUCAAAAAGAUCUAUGAUGGUCUCAAUGCGCACGAUGAUACCAAUAAUUAAGAAAGACAAAAAUUUGGAAGAAUGGCAGAUUGAAAUUAAUAAAUUUAUAUGGGAAGGGAAAAAAGCGAGAGUCAGAAUGAAAAUAAUGCAAGAUACACGGGAAAGAGGAGGAUUAAAAAUGCCCAAUUUAAAACUGUAGUAUGAAGCAGUUGUUCUUUCGGUAAUAAGCGAUUGGUUUAAUUUGACGGAGGAAAGGAUUUUGAAUAUAGAAGGUUAUGAUUUAUUAUACGGUUGACAUGCAUAUUUACUGUAUGAUAAAAAAGUAGAUAAAGCUUUUAAGAAUCAUGUGUUGAGAAUUUCUCUUCUGCGUGUCUGGAAAAAAUAUUACUAUAAGUUAAAUUAUAAAAUUCCUAUAUGGGCAAGUCCUCGGCACGCAGUAGAGAAUAUAAAUAUAGAACAGGAACAAGAAAUGAUUACUUAUAAAGAUCUUUUAUAUAAUGAGAGGGGAAAUUUACAACUAAAAUCUUUGGAUACAUUAAAAGAAGAAGGGAGGAAUUAUACUUGGUUUCAAUAUGGACAGUUAAAGGCUAGAUGGAAAGAAGAUCAGAAAAUCGGUAUUAUUCAAAAUGAAGAAAAUUUGGUCAAACAAAUUAGAAAUCAAACCCAGGGGCAUAUAAAGAGAUUGUAUAAUGUGUUGAUAGAAAUAGAUUCUGAAAGAGAUUUAAUAAAGGAUUGUAUGAUAAAACGGGCACAGAAUAUUCAGGAACCAAUAAUGUUGGAAACAUGGGAAAAAAUUUGGGUUAGAAAUGUUAAAUUUACGCAAGCGCAGAAUUUAAGGGAAAAUUUUUAUAAGAUGUUUUAUAGAUGGCAUUUAGAUCCUAAGAAAUUAUCAUGUAUGUAUUCAGAUAUGCAAGCGAAAUGUUGGAGAUGCAAUUGUGAUGAUGCUACAUAUUUUCACGUAUGGUGGACUUGUAAGAAAAUUAAGUCUUUCUGGAUAAGAAUCUGGUGGAUUAUGCAGAAUGUUCUGAAGAAGAAGAUAAAGUUCCUACCGCAAUUUUUCCUUUUGGGAAUAACAACAGACUGUACAGUGAUUGAGACUAAAUUUAUUUUGAAUUUAAUAACAGCAGCAAGACUGUUGAUCGGACAAUAUUGGAAGAAAAAUAGAAGAAUGGAUAUUGAAAGUUUCCAAUUUGGCCGAGAUGGCUAAAAUCUCAGUCUUCUUGAAAGACAGUACUCAAGAAAAAUAUCUAAACGAAUGGAAGAAUUGGAUUGAUUAUAUUCAAAAUAGAUAUCAGAUUAAGGAAUUUCAGAUUGCCUUUGAAUGAAGGACGUUGUUUUUUAUUUUAAUGGAAGAAGUCAGGUUA